UGGGGAAUAUUGCACAAUGGGCGCAAGCCUGAUGCAGCCAUGCCGCGUGUGUGAAGAAGGCCUUCGGGUUGUAAAGCACUUUCAGCGGGGAGGAAGGCGGUGAGGUUAAUAACCUCAUCGAUUGACGUUACCCGCAGAAGAAGCACCGGCUAACUCCUUGCCAGCAGCCGCGGUAAUACGGAGGGUGCAAGCGUUAAUCGGAAUUACUGGGCGUAAAGCGCACGCAGGCGGUCUGUCAAGUCGGAUGUGAAAUCCCCGGGCUCAACCUGGGAACUGGAUUCGAAACGGGCAGGAUAGAGUCUUGUAGAGGGGGGUAGAAUUCCAGGUGUAGCGGUGAAAUGCGUAGAGAUCUGGAGGAAUACCGGUGGCGAAGGCGGCCCCCUGGACAAAGACUGACGCUCAGGUGCGAAAGCGUGGGGAGCAAACAGG
rnacentral:rRNA from 1 species